ACUCUGUUGCUAUAGAGACAACCAUUCCUCUAGGGAGAAGAGUCGAAUGAAGCCUGCAAAAAGGCCUCUGGGGAACAGUGCAUGGAGUCUCUUCACCCGGUCACUCACUUCCUCCUCUACAUACUGGCCUAUUUCUGUGUCUACUCGUGUCUGUAUUUCUUGGUUUAUUUUGUUAGCAUCUUUAUGGAGGAUUAGGCAGUCAGCUGGACGAAAGCCUCUUUGGGCCCAACUAACAUUGGCCAAGGAAGGACAAGAGGGGUGGGAGGGGUUCCAGCCAUCACCAGGAGUCGUGAAGAGACAAAGGCUGACCUGGCAGGUUGGACAGUGUGCUGCUAGACUUCAUUUGGCCUUUAUGGGGUCUUCAAGCCAUGCCUUGCAUCAACAAGGGCAGAACUGGCCUAGGUGGAGCUGUGUCUGUCUGUGCCCAGCCUCUUUGCCCUGUAUCUUGUCACUUCUGGCUGGCAGACAUGUGGUAGGGCCCUCGCCAUCUGGAAUGGCACCCCAACAGCCCUGCAGUGACCCAUGGACUCAGUAGGGGCAUUGCAGAGCCUACAAAUGAGGUGUGGAGGUGAGUGCAGUCGCACGGGACAGGAACAGCAUGAAGAUCCGGUCCAGGGUCCACUCGGAAGUUGCACCUGUCCAGUGGAUGAAGGACUCAUCUAGUGUUUCUUGUUCCUGUCUGUCUAGAUCUUCCUGAUGUUGCUGAUUAGAACUCAGCGCUCUCCGGGAAGCACAAAAAUUGGAUCAAUCUGUCAAGCAAAAAAGGAGAUGAAGGGCGCUCUCUGGGAAUGAAUAUAUGUAAAGCCUCCUCUGCUCUCCAAAGACUCCUUUUGUGGAACUCAGCUUUCAACAGUCCGACAUCCAAAGAAGGCAGACAUACCACCCUGACAACUUAAAUAAAAAUUUCAACAUUUUUUUUGUUAAAUAUUAAA